UAAGGAACUCGGCAAAAUGGCCCCGUAACUUCGGGAGAAGGGGUGCCAUCGCAAGAUGGCCGCAGUGAAAUGAUCCAAGCGACUGUUUACCAAAAACACAGGUCUCUGCAAAGUCGAAAGACGACGUAUAGGGGCUGACGCCUGCCCAGUGCCGGAAGGUUAAGGAAGUUGGUCAGCGAAAGUGAAGCUAACGACUGAAGCCCCGGUGAACGGCGGCCGUAACUAUAACGGUCCUAAGGUAGCGAAAUUCCUUGUCGGGUAAGUUCCGACCCGCACGAAAGGCGUAACGAUUUGGAUGCUGUCUCGGAGAGAGACUCGGCGAAAUAGGAUUGUCUGUGAAGAUACGGACUACUUGCACCCGGACAGAAAGACCCUAUGAAGCUUUACUAUAACUUGGAAUUGGGUUCGGGCUUCUCUUGCGCAGGAUAGGUGGGAGACUAUGAUGAUGUCCUUGUGGGGACAUCGGAGUCAACGGUGAGAUACCACUCUGGAGAGGCUAGAAUU
rnacentral:rRNA from 1 species